GUCAAUCUACCCUUGGGACUGGGAUAACCCCGGGAAACUGGGGAUAAUCCCAAAUAGGCGGGGAUUCUGGAAAUGUCCCUCGCUGAAACGCUACGGCGCCUAAGGACGAGACUGCGGCCGAUUAGGUUGUUGGUGAGGUAAAGGCUCACCAAGCCACAGAUGGGUACGGGCCCUGAGAGGGGGAGCCCGGAGAUGGGGACUGAGACAAGGCCCCAGGCCCUACGGGGCGCAGCAGGUGCGAAAAUUCUGCAAUGCGUGCAAGCGCGACAGAGUGACUCCCAGUGCCGAUGGUCUAGCGAUCGUCGGCUUUUCUGGAAUGUAAAAAGUUUCAGGUAAUAAGGGCCGGGUAAGACUGGUGCCAGCCGCCGCGGUAACACCAGCGGCCCGAGUAGUAACCGAUUUUAUUGGGCCUAAAGCGUCCGUAGCCGGACCGACGGGUCCCUUGUGAAAUCGGACGGCUUAACCGUUCGGCUUGCAAGGGAAACUGUCGGUCUUGGGGCUGGUAGGCGUCGAGGGUACUCCAGGGGUAGCGGUGAAAUGCUAUAAUCCUUGGGGGACCGCCAGUGGCGAAAGCGCUCGACGAGAUCAGACCUGACGGUGAGGGACGAAGGCCAGGGGCGCGAACCGGAUUAGAUACCCGGGUAGUCCUGGCUGCAAAGGAUGUGAGUUAGGUGCUAGGCGCUCCUCGAGAGCGUCCGGUGCCGAAGGGAAGCCAUUAAGCUCACCGCCUGGGAAGUACGGUCGCAAGGCUGAAACUUAAAGAAAUUGGCGGGGG
rnacentral:rRNA from 1 species